CGGUGCAGCGGCAGGCACAUUACGUACCAAUCUUUCGCCUUUUACUAAAGAUUGCCGUGUGUCUGCCGCAUUUAAAUGCAUCUUAGGCCUAUUUUUGGGGCGCUUCGGCGCCA
rfam:Eimeria necatrix Houghton genomic scaffold, Enh_scaff482